UUUCUAGCCUGCUGCCUUCUGAUUGGCUGAACCAGACCUCCCACAGAUCACACCUCUCCACCGUCCAUCCUUAGCUGAUCCAACGGUCCCCGCUCCUUCUACUCUCUAUCUGUGCCUUCCCUGAUUCUUAUCCUCUCACAGCCACACGAACGAGAGCACCAUGACAGCAGCAGCCGCGCCCGAGGAAAUCCACAGCUCGCAGCCAUCGGACGCCGCCGUCCGCGCGAAGGGCCGCCGCCCGAACCUCCCACCACAGCACGCCGCAAUGGAGGCCGAACGCCCAUGGCAUCGUCCGAGCUCACCUCCCAGCAGUCAUACUCCUUUGAAAUCAUCGGGAUCUGGCUGGAGCCGGACGCCAACGCCCCGUUCCUACCUCCCCGCCUCGCUUGGGUCGUCGGCCACCUCGACGAUGUCAUACCGCUCGCGGGAUCCAGCGCCACCGUUGGCUGGCCACUUCCUCCUGGAGGAGACGCCUCCACAUCGGCGCCUCCUCACAUGAGCAGCAGCGAACGCCUCGCUAAGGGCAUCUCUGGUGGUGUUUUUUUAAAUUGUUUUAAAGAAGUUUGCCAGAUCUGUGCCUAAAAAACAAUGGCGUUGAACUCCGAUUGACGCCCCGCGAAGGCUGGGCGGCGCUUGAUGUGGUGGCUGCAGAAUAUCUCCGGGCAAAAUAGUAGGCCAGAUCUAGGGGGGAAAUCUUUAAUUCCAAGUUUUUGGUUGUGUAUUUUUUCCUUUUGGUAAAAAUAAAAUUUAGUUAUCUGGUAUGUUUAUG